rnacentral:misc_RNA from 1 species
UAAUCAAGUGUUUUUAUGGCACUUUAAAAAUCCAUAUCCACCUUGUGUGCAAUGUCAUCUCACUUGGGUCACGGCUGUAAAACGCCGGCGGCCCGUUUGGGAUUUAUAUCUACUCAGAAUUUUAAUCAUUUUGUCUGAAACAUAUUAUGAAUAACUUAAUUCAAAAUA